UCUCUCUCUCUCUCUCUCUCUCUCUCUCUCUCUCUCUCUCACUCAGUAGUACUCGGCAGUCCCCCCAUCUCUUCUCUAUCUAUCCAUAAUAUUAUAGCUACCUGGCUUCAUCCUAACUCUAAAAGCCAUAAACAAAACUUCAAGGUAAGGACCACCUCAGAAAAUGAUAACUCAUGCAUUGGAUCGUCUAAUAUCACAAUAUAUACUGUAGGCCCUUUUUAAGUGGCUUUAUUUUCUCUAUCGAUCUAACUGCCUUAUCUAUGUAUUCCAUCAACCUUGCUUAGCACUUGUGUAUCCUAUACAACAGUGAAUAAGGAAACCUUGUGCAACUCGAUCGAUCGAAUUUUUGUUAGUGGGGAUCACCACACCAGCUUUGCAUUGAUUUCUCAUUAAAAGGCAUGCACAACUACGACAGUAAAAGAGAAGAAGGGCAUUCAAGUCCCCACAGCAAAGCCAGAGACGGACAAUAUAAUGGUGGACUUUAUUCCCAGCGACUGCAAACUGCUUUAUAUGUGUUUCUUUCUUCCUUAUGGAAACCGAUUGACAAGAUAAUUGACCAAUUUCAGACAAUAUAAUGUUCAUAUGUACAUCUCUAUAAUAUUAAUCAACUCCUAAACAAUAGUUCAGAUUUUGGAACAUCCGCAUUACAUACUCUGUCAUGUUUUGUGUUUAAGUCAACCAUCGUUACAAAAUUAAGCCAAUUGCUGUCAUGCUUUGUAUUUUUUUUUUAAUCCAACAAGGUCCCAAGUUCGAAUCUUUCAUGUAGUCUCUUCGUAAAUCAACUCGAGAUAAGAAAUUUACAAUCUCAAUUGAUAG
rnacentral:lncRNA from 1 species